CACAUCGAUUUCACUGUGCCUUCGUCUCGUUUCCUUCCCUACGAAGGAACUCCACACCGAUUCCUCCACACUCCACGACUCCCAAGUUGUAUCUAGAGACAAGGAGGCGGAGCAGCCGCCACAAGGUCGCUGCCGCUGGCCGGGAUCCAGAAGAUGGCCAUAGCGGCGGUGGUGGCGGCAGUUGCCCCGGGUGGUGAUGUAGAGGGGAGGAGCCAGUAGCAGUGAUGACGCUGCUGCUGCGGCACGGCGCGGAGCGAAGGGAGGAGGUGCGACGCCUCGCAGCCGAGGAAUCCGACCUGGCGGAGCGGGAGUCGGUGCUCGCGUACUGCUCCGAGCUGUUCCCUGCGUGCUGCACGUGGCGGAGGUGCCGGAGGCGCCGAUGUGGACGCCACGGGAGGAGGAGGUCGUGGAGGCGCUGACGCCUCCACCGGCCGCAGCCGGCGUCCGCGCGGUGUGCUUCGGGCCAACGACGUUUAGGUGCAAACAGUGCAAGGCCGUCAAGUACUGUGGGAAGAUAAUUGCUGAACAUUGCACAAGCUGUUAUGGUUCAGGACGGGGAGGUAUUGAGGAUGGUUCAGCUAUUCGACUUACCUGAGGAGGUGGUGUUGACAAGAAAAGGCAAGCACUGGGCAAUAAAUACAUGGUUAUGUAAAUUCAUGAACCCCUUAUGUAGUUUUCCGCAUGUUUCGUUUAAACAAGUAACUUUGUCAGAGAUAUGCCUGGGUUGUCCGUACUGAGAUAUCUGUCAAUUGACAAGGUGCUUGUACUUGUCGAUUUGUAUGCUUUAAGUAGAGCAAUACCGUCUGGAUGAAACACUACUAACAUUUUAGUUUAGUUUAAUAGGAUCCACUUACUGGGAGAAGAUAUUAUUGUUAUUGUUAGUUGUUACCCAUUUCUAUCUUAUCAUGCAAGUGACUUGUAUAUAUUCAUUCAUGUUGAAUAAGAACAAGGCGUCUGCAGAGAAGCAGGUCUCAAUUUGUAUUCUGAUCUAAUGAUUGAUUACACU